AGGAAAGGAAAAGAAUCAUCAAGUAGUCAUUGAAAAUAUCUCAAGAAAUUACAUUAUUAAGAUAGAGCAUCAAUAAAAAAGUCAAGGUGGUUUGUCAGAUGUACACUUUUUUACCUCUUUUUACAGCAUAGUCAACUCCAACAACACAUGUUGGGAUUAUACCCGCACAUUGAAAUGGAAAGAACAAAAUAAUGGUGAGCAAUUCAAAAUCAACAACGUCUAUUUUACGUCUUCGUAGUGCAUGUAUUAUGUCUUCUUUUUCUAAAUCUUUCGGGAUAUUGUUUUGCUCUUCUUGAGAUACGUCUGCAGCUUGAGACCUUUUGAGGGGAACUGUUGUACACUAUGAGAAAUCUUUAAGCACAACCACCGCAAAUGACCGAAUUGGGUGAUCACUAUGAUUAGAAAUUGCAAUAAAAAUCAUAUAGAUUUCAGCAAGCGGAUCCGAGCGAGCGAAGGGUGAGCAUCCUUACCAUCACAGAAGAAUAGCCCAAACCCGAGCGGAUUUCGACGGUCCAGCAGGGGACGGAGGCAGAGACGGCUGCUACUGUUGCGCCGAAGAGGGGAGGAGAAGCUUCACGCCUCCGAGGUAGCGGCGAGGCGUGAGGGGGAGGAGGGAGGGGCGGGCCAGGAUGUCGCUGAGGUACCACCACUUAUGCACCUCCAUGGCGGCGAGGUGCCAGUCAGCGGCCCAUGGUGCAUGCGAGCUUGGUGUGGCACGUGAUCCAGAACUCGUUCUCCCGCAGCUCGGCCUCCGUGGUGGUGUGUCCAUGUUGAUGGGUGGGUCGGACACGAAGAUCCCAUUCAGGUUAGGGGGUGGCAGUGAGGUUGGAGGUGGAGCAGAGGCGGAGGGGGAGGCAGCAAGGACUACCGCAAGUGGAUGGAUGGGGGCGCAACAUGGGGAGGCAGCGAGGGC
rnacentral:lncRNA from 1 species